AUGUCCAGCCAGAGAUUAGAAGGUCCUCAGGUUAACCUGAGAGGGGCAGGUCAUCCCAGGGAAGGGUUUUUGUAUGAGACUUUGUCACUGUGUUGGGUGUUCGGCGGAGGAACCAAGCUGACCGUCCUUGGUCAGCCCAAGUCUGCACCCUCAGUCACUCUCUUCCCACCCUCCUCUGAGGAGAUCGCUGAGGCCAAAAAGGCCACACUGGUGUGUCUGAUGAACGACUUCUACCCCGGUGUUGCGACGGUGACCUGGAAGGCAGAUGGCACCACCAUCAACCAGGGUGUGGAGACCACCAAGCCGUCCAAACAGAGCAACAACAAGUAUGCUGCCAGCAGCUACCUGAGCUUGACGCCCGCCAAGUGGCAAUCUCACCGUGAGAUCACCUGCCAGGUCACGCACGAAGGCACAACCGUGGAGAAGAAAGUGAGCCCUUCAGAGUGUUCUUAGGGCCCUUAGAUGCCUCCAAGGGCAUCAUCCUCACCUCAACGCCUACCUUUCCCAGAUCUCAUGUAUUCCCUGAAUUUCCUAUAAGUCUGGACUCCCUCUCUCAUGUAACUACUAUCCUUCAAUAAAAAUAUAAUCAUUU